rnacentral:rRNA from 1 species
UACGUAGGGUGCAAGCGUUUGUCCGGAAUUACUUGGCGUAAAGCGCGUGUAGGCGGGUAAUCAAGUCAGAUGUGAAAGCCCUGGGCUCAACCCAGGAACUGCAUUUGAAACUGGUUGCCUUGAGUGUUGGAGAGGGAAGCGGAAUUCCUGGUGUAGAGGUGAAAUUCGUAGAUAUCGGGAGGAACACUGCGGUGUAGACGGCUUACUGGACCAUAACUGACGUGAGGCACGAAAGCGUGGGUAGCAAACAGG